rnacentral:lncRNA from 1 species
ACAUUUUCCUGUUCUAAGCAAAAGAGGCAAUGAGCAUCCUCUACUCUUCUUCUUUUAGCUAAGUUAUCCCUUGUCAAGAGUUUAUUUUUGGAAAUCAACCAUAGAAACACAUGUACUCUAGGAGGGAUCCAAAUUUUCCAAACAGAUGGAGUGUAGGUGGGAACCACACCCCUGAAAUUAAUCACCUUGUAGAGUGAUUGAGAGGAGUACACUCCUGAGGAGUGGUAUUGCCAGAUUACACUAUCCUCCUCUCUAGUAAAAAACAAUGGUCGAAGCUAACUGAAUAACCUCCUCCCACUGUCUCAGUAAUCUAUCAUCCACACAUCUUCUAAAAGUGCACUACUUUAGGUUAUGCCCAUCCCAAAUAUCUGCAAUGGUUGCAGUUUGCUCAUUGAUGAUCACAUAGAUAUCCCAGAAAAUCACCGAUAAGCUUGCAGUUCCUAUCCAAUUGUCCUCCCAAAACCUAGCUUUUUUCCCAUCACCUACCUGCCACUUAAAACCCAUUUUGGCCACCUGAGCAGCCUAGUUCAAAAUUACUUUACACUUACACUUACACAAUAUGGCAGAUUACAUUCUCUAUCAGGUAUUUUGUAGCCAUCUCCAAUGUGUUCGUCAGACCCUGUUUCGUCUUAUAAUAAAGAAAGGCAAAAAAAACAUCCUAAGAAGAUUGCUCUAGCCUGAAUGAAUAAGUGAAUAAGUCUAGGAAAUUACCAUGCGCUCGCUAUUAGCAUCAUCCUCAAUUUCC